AUGGGUGAGAUCAAGAAGAUAGUCCAAGAAGGAAAGGUGAAAUACGUCGGGUUGUCGGAGGCCUCGGCAGCGACAAUAAGAAGGGCACAUGCAGUUCAUCCUAUCACCGCUGUUCAGCUGGAGUGGUCUUUGUGGUCAAGAGAUGUUGAAGAAGAUAUAAUACCAACUUGCAGAGAACUUGGCAUUGGAGUGGCAUACAGUCCACUAGGCAGAGGUUUUCUAUCCACUGGACCUAAACUGUUGGACACAUUACCAGAGGAUGAUUUCGGCAAGAAUCUCCCAAGAUUUCAACCCGAGAACAUGGAGAAGGACGCGACGAUAUUUGAGUGCGUGAGCGAGAUGGCUGCGAGGAAGGGUUGCACGUCGUCCCAGCUGGCCCUGGCUUGGGUUCAUCACCAGGGAAGUGAUGUGUGCCCCAUACCCGGCACAACAAAAGUUGAGAAUCUCAACCAGAAUGUGAGAGCGCUUUCUGUGGAGCUCACGGCCGAGGAGAUGGUCGAGCUCGAGUCCUACGCCGCCAUGGAUGCGGUCCAAGGUGAUCGGUACCACAACACGUUCCUCAACACCUGGAAGGACUCCGAGACCCCUCCCCUGUCAUCCUGGAAAGCCACUUAA
rnacentral:rRNA from 1 species